rnacentral:lncRNA from 1 species
ACGUUGUAAAAUGUAUUUUAUUUUCUUGUUUAGACAGAAACAAGACCUUUUAAAUUAAUAUUUGCCGAAGUAAUCCUUGACCGUGAUACUACUAUGUUACAACUUCUAUAAAUAAACUAUACCGAUGCGAGUAUUAUUAGAUAACUAAUAGAUUUGACAAUAAAUGUCAUUGCCGUCUUAAGCAACCAAUCCACAGAUAGAUUCAAUUCAUAAUUAAAGGUAAAGGUGCUUUUGAGUCACUGGAUAUGAAAUGGAGUUUUGGAGUCGUCGAAACAGUGGUGUG